rnacentral:misc_RNA from 1 species
AAGGCAUAUCACAACUCCUUUGAAAAGCACUACUGACGUCGGGGACUAAGCGAGAGCGACCUACCGAAGACCAAAUUAGGAGAAACCUUCCACUCAAAGCCUAUCAAGAUAGAGCAAAACCAGCCAGAGCAAAGACAUAUACACCUCAACCAAGUCAAGAGCCAACUCUAUCAGAUGAAAAAACAUAGGUUGAAGCCAAAAAAAUUUGAAAGAG